GACGAACGCUGGCGGCGUGCUUAACACAUGCAAGUCGAACGGAAAGGCCCUGCUUUUGUGGGGUGCUCGAGUGGCGAACGGGUGAGUAACACGUGAGUAACCUGCCCUUGACUUUGGGAUAACUUCAGGAAACUGGGGCUAAUAUCGGAUAGGAGCUCCUGCUGCAUGGUGGGGGUUGGAAAGUUUGGGCGGGUGGGGAUGGACUCGCGGCUUAUCAGCUUGUUGGUGGGGUAGUGGCUUACCAAGGCUUGGACGGGGGGCCGGCCUGAGAGGGUGACCGGCACCAUUGGGCCUGAGUACCGGCCCGGCCUCCUACGGGGGGCAGCAGUGGGAAAUAUUGCACAUUGGGCGGAGGCCUGAUCCAGCAACGCCCCGUGCGGGAUGCCGGCCUUCGGGUUGUAACCCGCUUUCGCAUGUGACGAAGCGUGAGUGACGGUACUGGGUGAAGAAGCACCGGCUAACUACGUG
rnacentral:rRNA from 1 species